AGCUUUGCACAGUGGCAGUGUCGUAGCCGAUGAGGUUUAUCUGAGGCGCGAUUAUUGCUAAUUGAAAACAGUGUAAACCCACAAUUACUUUUGCACCAACCUAAUCAAUUCCGGGGACAUGUAUUUCUCUUUUUCUAAACAU
rnacentral:snRNA from 1 species